AGUGAACGCUGGCGGUAGGCCUAACACAUGCAAGUCGAACGGCAGCACAGUAAGAGCUUGCUCUUACGGGUGGCGAGUGGCGGACGGGUGAGGAAUAAAUCGGAAUCUACUUUUUCGUGGGGGAUAACGUAGGGAAACUUACGCUAAUACCGCAUACGACCUACGGGUGAAAGCAGGGGAUCUUCGGACCUUGCGCGAUUGAAUGAGCCGAUGUCGGAUUAGCUAGUUGGCGGGGUAAAGGCCCACCAAGGCGACGAUCCGUAGCUGGUCUGAGAGGAUGAUCAGCCACACUGGAACUGAGACACGGUCCAGACUCCUACGGGAGGCAGCAGUGGGGAAUAUUGGAUAAUGGGCGCAAGCCUGAUCCAGCCAUACCGCGUGGGUGAAGAAGGCCUUCGGGUUGUAAAGCCCUUUUGUUGGGAAAGAAAAGCAGCAGGUUAAUACCCCGCUGUUCUGACGGUACCCAAAGAAUAAGCACCGGCUAACUUCGUG
rnacentral:rRNA from 1 species